AACGAACGCUGGCGGCAGGCUUAACACAUGCAAGUCGAACGCCCCGCAAGGGGAGUGGCAGACGGGUGAGUAACACGUGGGAACGUGCCCUAAGGUUCGGAAUAUUCCCGGGAAACUGGGAGCAAUACCGAAUGUGUCCGAGAGGAGAAAGAUUUAUCGCCUUAGGAUCGGCCCGCGUCGGAUAAGCUAGUUGGUGGGGUAAUGGCCGACCAAGGCGACGAUCCGUAGCUGGUCUGAGAGGACGACCAGCCACACUGGGACUGAGACACGGCCCAGACUCCUACGGGAGGCAGCAGUGGGGAAUCUUGGACAAUGGGCGCAAGCCUGAUCCAGCCACGCCGCGUGGAUGAUGAAGGCCCUAGGGUUGUAAAAUCCUUUCGCCGAGGACGAUAAUGACGGUACUCGGAGAAGAAGCUCCGGCUAACUUCGUGCCAGCAGCCGCAGUAACAC
rnacentral:rRNA from 1 species